rnacentral:rRNA from 1 species
CAGUCGCCACGGUAAUACGAAGGGGGCUAGCGUUGCUCGGAAUUACUGGGCGUAAAGGGAGCGUAGGCGGAUCGUUAAGUUGGGGGUGAAAGCCCGGGGCUCAUCCUCGGAACUGCCUUCAAUACUGGCGAUCUUGAGUAUGAGAGAGGUGUGUGGAACUCCGAGUGUAGAGGUGAAAUUCGUAGAUAUUGGAAAGAACACCGGUGGCGAAGGCGGCGACCUGGUCUUUAACUGACGCUGAGGCGCGAAAGCGUGGGGAGCAAACAGGAUUAGAUACCCCCGUAGUCCCUGUCUCUUAUAC